CUUUCACGUUUAUUAUACUCAUUCAAUCACUCUCUCUCUCUCUCUCUCUCUCUCUUUCUCUUUUGUUUUUCCCGUGUCGAAACGCUCAAUAUUUGUUCUCCAUCGAACUUUGUCGAAGUAUCGGUGCGAUGGGUAAAUAUUUGCUACUGUACAUAGGCAGUUGAGUAUAGAAGCUCGUAAGCUAGCUAUCGUACUCUCAAUGGUUAGACUUUCUUUCUUUCUACUAGCUAACGCCAUUCGUUUGACUCUUUCGUAAGAGCCUUUUUUACAUUUCAAAGGGAUACAUAUUUAUGAGAGAUUUUCAAUGUAAUACUAUAGAAUGAUAUAUAUAUAUAUAUAUCUAUAAAGUAUUACGUUUACUCUAUCCACGUAGUAUCUUGUUAGUUAGACGAUACUUUUGUGUUUGAAAAAUUCUGGAUUUAUCAAUGUUGAAUCGACGACAGAGAUAAAAUAGGGAGGAUAAAGUAAAAACAUUAGCGUCGUUUGUAAUGAGCUUAUUUUCAAAAGAUAUUAUUAUUAUUACAAUAUACACAAUAUAUUCGUUCGGGAUAAAAUACAAUUUCGUCUUAAAACCAACAGGGUGGGGGGAGGGGGAGUAUACUAUCUUCCAAAUUUCCAUAUAUAAUAUUAUAUUUUUAUCUGAAAAAUUGGGAAUUACUAUCGUAUUACCAUUACGAAGCUAUUAAAUAUACGUUAUCUUUAAUAUAGUUUGGUUAAAAAUUCGUUGAAGAAAAAAGAAAAAAUAUAUAAAUGGCGAAAGCGUUUUAAAGAGGUAAUAAGAUACGUUCGAUAAAAUAUGAGACUCGAACGUCGGUUACCACGUGACGUUAACGACUAUGAUGAAAAUGACGAGUCAACGACAACGAGGAUGAUGAAGAAGACGAAAACGAAGAAGAAGAAGGAGGAGGAGGAGAAGGAGAAGGAGAAGGAGGAGGAGGAGGAGGAGGAAGAGGAGGAAGGGAAAUGAGAGGAAGAAAAUGGUAAGGGUGGUGGCGUUAAGCUGACAUGUACUCCUAUGUCUGACGGGGCUCCUUAAUUUAUUUCCAGGAUGAACGGAAACUCCGGUAGGAGAUAAAGCGCACUUGGCCGGAGUCCCAGAGUUUGAGUUUCGCAAACUCUACAUCAUGAAGGUUGUACAUUCUCCCGGAAUCGCACCUACUACCCCGUUUACCUCUAACUCGAGAACAGAUCCCGUACUGCAAUGCGACCAAUGCGGGUCAUCCUAUUGAAAUUUAUCUUACGCGAACGGGAUUGCUUGCAUAUUAUCUGUCGGACAACGAUGAUGAUUAUGACAACGAGAACAACAUUCCCCUUGCCCUUUACUUUUUUUUUCUCUCUUUUUAUUCAUUUAUUUAUUUAUUUAUUUCUAUUUUUUUCCCCCGCGUGCAUUAUACGAGUUCAAUCGAAAUCUUCAAAGAUUUAUUUAUUAUAUCUAAUAUGAUUUUAGAUGUUUAGAUAUUUAUUAUCGACAAAUUAGAAUUUUCGAUAUACGAUGACUCGUACGUCAUACCGAUCGACCUUGUUGCUAACGUUAUUACAAAAGACAAACAGCUUAGGGAAGAUUACGAAACUGUUGGUGUCGUAACCAUCAAACUCAUGAAAUCCAAUAAUUAUCCUGUCGAUACGCGACGUUUCUCGAGAAGAAACAUCGACGGUCUCAACGAUUGAUCAAGAAACGUUUUUCUUUUAAUCUAACAAUCUCUUUUUUUUUCUUUUUUUUUUCUUUUGAAUAUAUUCUUUUGAUAAUACAAUCGAAAGAAAUAUAAUAGAGGAUAAUCGUUUAAAAAAUACUUAUAUUUUGAGAAGAUUUUAAAUGUUGAAAGAUACCCUCGCCCCCCGCCCCCCAUCCCCUCGAGAAAAAAGUUUAUUAUUUUAUUAACACUUAACCCUUUUUUCUUUCUCUCUCCCCUUAGUAGAAUAUUUGUCCAAGACAAUUGUACAUAUAUUAUACAUCACCCUGAAUCCUGACGGCUCAUUUGAAAACGCAAGCAAAACCCAACCUUUUGAAAUCUUCUCAUUUGUAUCAUUACUCGAGUCGAGUUUCUAUUGUUCGUGAUAUAAAAUCCUCGUUAGAAGGAAUAUAAGCUCGCCAGUUUUCGUUUAGUUCGCUGACGCACGUCUCUACGUUUCUUUUUAUUCGUACAAGAAACACAUACAUACACACACACAUACAUAUAUAUAUAUAUAUAUAUAUAUAUAUAUAUAUAUGACAUAUGAGUGCUCGAUAAAAGACAAUAUUCUUCAUUUUCAUAUCCUUCUAUGUGUGUUAUAAUAAAAUGUAAGAAACACAUUUCUCGGUAGAAAGGGGGAAAAAAAAAUAUGUCAAUUACAGAUUGCGAAGAAUAAUCGAACGUGGGAGAACAUGGUCGUUGAUCGUAAAAAAG